rnacentral:lncRNA from 7 species
GAGAAAGGGAAGUCAUCUGCAGCUUAUUCCUGCUGAUGGCCCUGCUGAGCAACCUGAAAAGCUACGCCUGAGGGGUUACAAAGUAAAUCCAGAAAUAGCUUGGAAAUAUGAAGGUCUGAAAGGUAAACACAGAAGGCACAACACAGCCUGAUCCCAUCAGUCAGAAGAUGUAUAAAUAAAGUACAGAGUUUAAAGAAAAAUAAAAAAGAAAAAGAAAUUGUUUUUUUGUAAAGAAACAACAGGAACAGCCUGACUUUGAUAAUGUUUUGACACUUGAAGUAUCCAACCAGUGUGAAAUCCUAGUCAGUAUCAACACAAUGGAUCACUAAUCAGUGCAGACUGAAGAAGUCCAGGAAAGCACUCGAGAGCAGCAGGUACAUGCCCUGUUGGAAGCAAUUGGAGAAGCAAAUUGAAGCAAAUGCAGAAGACUCAGCUGUUGGGUAAAUUGAAGACAAUCCUUCUACAGGCCUAAUCCUAAGGUAUGUGAUUGCUGCUGUGAUACAGAGAGGAACAUUCUCCCCAUGUGGCUAGCAUCAGAAGCUGAUGGUUACUGUACAAAGCAGAAUCUCCUUUGUUUUAUUAUCAUCCUUCAGGUUCCCUUGAUGUCUAUUUGUAUUACACGUUAUCUUUCUGUGCUCUAGCACUAAGGUCAGGAUGAAAAGGAAAGUGAAUCUCAAACAUACCUUUUCUAUGCUUAUCUUUAAUAUCUCCUUUUUUUUUCUUUUUCUUUUUUUUUCACAUUGUUAUGUAAUGUGGUCCUUCAUGUAGCACCCCGUUUGGCAAUGCUACUGUAUGAAUUUCAGGUGAGCAAUAACAUGAUGAGAACGUAAUAAACCAACAGAUAUGGAAAAUGCGAUGUUAAUAUUUAGUAAAUAUGAGACAUAAGGAUUGGAUUUUGUGAGGGGAAAGAAGAUGAUUGAUGGAAGCCUAGGGCCAGAAUACUUUUAAAAAUACUGGCUCAAUAUCUAUUGCACUCUUAAUUAAAUCCUGAUCCCUCCUAGACUUACACAUAUGUCUAAGUGUCACUGAAGCCAAAGCACUUUAAGAAGACUGUUCAGCAUGUGACUGCUAGCAUUGCUCAAGUUACUGCUGGAGUUGCUCAAGUUAAAUAUGUUAGCAAGGAUCUGAAGAAUUACAUGUUUCAAUAGUUGCAUUGUUUUAUUGGAUUCUUAAGUGUCAUAAUGAAAUGUGUAUCCUGUGGCUGGAAAAGCACUACUGAAGCUGUCUUAUUCAAAUUGUCGCCUUACAUCUCCAGUAGUAUGUCAAUAUGGGAGGGAGUAAACAAAGAAUGAGAAUGUUUAUCUGAUUUUUAUUGUUACAGAAACAGGGAUGCACUGAGCUCAAGAAGGAAGAGCUUAUGGCUAAAUUGUAGAGAGUAAGAAACCAAUCAAUUGUUGGUAAUUUAGAAGUCUGUUCUAAUAGUGAAAUUGAUAAAACUUUGAAACUAAUAAAUCAUUUAUGUAU